UCCUCCAACCCGACAGCACCAAAAUGGUCAAGAUGCGUUAGCAGUCACAUUUAGAGGAAAUGCCCCGAGAAGGAACACAGAAAAGACAACAACUGCGAAGGAGCCAAACGAACUGAAGACUGCGGAUUAACAACAAAGAAGCUCCGACGCCUAGCGAGGCCACAGCGACGGAGCACAGCAGAGCAGAGCGCCGGAGAGAGGAGGAGAGAGGCGGCCGGCUGCCGGGAGCCGAGAGGUGGAGCUUCCGCCCCGGCGGGGCCGGACCACAGGCACACAGAAAGACUGGCAAGGCGGAGGGGGCGGGGGUAGAAGCACCUGCUCCCUCCCCGUCACGCCCCCAGUCAACAGGGCUGACCUCGCAUAGUCAUCCCAGCGGGACAAGAAUGCACGUUAAAGUGCUCACCAGGAUGUAAAGGGUUAGACUACUUCCUGAUCAAUUAAAAUGCAAUUCGCACCAA